rfam:Otolemur garnettii contig085483, whole genome shotgun sequence.
ACCGGACAGGGUGGCGUGUGUCUGUAGUCCCAGUUACUUGGGAGGGAGGCUGAGACAGGAGGAUCGCUUGCAUCCAGGAGUUCUGGGCUGUAGUGCACUGAUCAGGUGUCUGCACUAAGUUUAGCAUCAAUAUCACCAUAUUGACUGCCCAGGAGUGGGCCACAGGUUGCCUAAGUAGGGGUGAACUGGCCCAGGCCAGAAAUGGAGAAGGUCAAAACUCCCGUGGCUGAUCAGUAGUGGGAUCGCAACUAUGAAUAGCCACUGCACUCCAGCCUGGGCACAUAGCAGGCUCCCAUCUCUU